rnacentral:rRNA from 1 species
GGCGGCCGCUCCUUCCUAGUGAUUUCUGGUUGAUCCCGGCAGAGGCUGCUGCUAUUGGGAUUCGAUUAAGCCAUGCGAGUUGAAUGAAUUUAGAUUCAUGGCGUACGGCUCAGUAACACGUGGAUAACUUACCCUUAGGACUGGGAUAACUCUGGGAAACUGGGGAUAAUACCGGAUAUUAGGCUAUGGCUGGAAUGCUUUGCCUUUGAAAUGUUUCUUGUAUUCGCCUAAGGAUAGAUCUGCGGCUGAUUAGGUCGUUGGUGGGGUAAUGGCCCACCAAGCCUAUGAUCGGUACGGGUUGUGAGAGCAAGAGCCCGGAGAUGGAACCUGAGACAAGGUUCCAGACCCUACGGGGUGCAGCAGGCGCGAAACCUCCGCAAUGUACGAAAGUGCGACGGGGGGAUCCCAAGUGUUAUUCUUAAUAGGAUAACUUUUCAUUAGUGUAAAAAGCUUUUAGAAUAAGAGCUGGGCAAGACCGGUGCCAGCCCGCCGCGGUAACACCGGCAGCUCAAGUGGUAGCUGUUUUUAUUGGGCCUAAAGCGUUCGUAGCCGGUUUGAUAAGUCCUUUGGUGAAAGCUUAUGGCUUAACCUGUAAGAAAUGCUGAAGAUACUGUCAGACUUGAAGUCGGGAAGAGUUAGAGGACUACCGGGGUAGGGUGAAAUCCUAUAUCCUGGGAGACACUGGUGG